ACCCAGAUCUGUCUGGUGCCCGACCGUGAAGGCAGAAUCUCCGGUGGGCUAUCAGCGGGGGGGAUUCGGCUUGGAGCAGCGGUCUAUCUCCGACUACGAUGCCGUUCUCCCAGCCGCACGAACCCUGGGACAAAAUGGAGGUGACCAGCGUUAGUAGUGAGGUUAAUGGUCACCAGAUCCUGGAUGAGCCGAUGGACGAGGGAGAGUCUUUUACUCAUUGUGACGAGGUUCUGUCAUAUUCAGAGAUCCAUAUCACCCACCAUGUGAAGGAGGGCUGUGAGAAGGCUGACCCGAGGCACUUUGAGCUGCUUAAGGUCCUGGG